GACGAACGCUGGCGGCGUGCUUAACACAUGCAAGUCGAACGGAAAGGCCCUGCUUUUGUGGGGUGCUCGAGUGGCGAACGGGUGAGUAACACGUGAGUAACCUGCCCUUGACUUUGGGAUAACUUCAGGAAACUGGGGCUAAUACCGGAUAGGAGCUCCUGCUGCAUGGUGGGGGUUGGAAAGUUUCGGCGGUUGGGGAUGGACUCGCGGCUUAUCAGCUUGUUGGUGGGGUAGUGACUUACCAAGGCUUUGACGGGUAGCCGGCCUGAGAGGGUGACCGGCCACAUUGGGACUGAGAUACGGCCCAGACUCCUACGGGAGGCAGCAGUGGGGAAUAUUGCACAAUGGGCGGAAGCCUGAUGCAGCAACGCCGCGUGCGGGAUGACGGCCUUCGGGUUGUAAACUGCUUUCGCCUGUGACGAAGCGUGAGUGACGGUAAUGGGUAAAGAAGCACCGGCUAACUACGUG
rnacentral:rRNA from 1 species